UGCCUUUGUGUUGCCCUUUCAGUGUUUCCAUCAUGAAACGGGUGUCAACUAAGGCAUACAGAGACUCUUGUGGGUUUCUUUGGGAGGAGUCACCCCUGAUUCUCCUGACCGGAGUAACUGCAAGAACACAA